rnacentral:tRNA from 1 species
GCAUCAUUGCUCCGUGGUAGAGCGUCAGUCUUGUAACUGAAGGUCCGUAGUUCGAUCCUGCGUGGAGGCA